rnacentral:tRNA from 1 species
ACCCCGAUAGCUCAGUCUGGAGAGCGAUGGGAUGAAGUGUUGCAAUCAUCCGGCAUCAUGUUCAUAUACGCUGGUUCAACUCCAGGUCGGGGAG